UUUACAAAUGUUAACUUUUAAAAAUCCACACCGGUUCAGUAUGUAACCACUCUAUCUGCCUUCUUAUAUACUGUUUCUUCUCUUCAAUUUUUCCCUUUUUUGGUUAUGCUCUUUUUCCUCUGCGGUAAGAAACCCAGUGACGCUUGAAAGAACAGGGGCCUGCCUUCACUAGCCUGCCACCACUGGUUAGCCAGCGAAACCACUAUUGGUUACUCAUAUGCAGUCAACGGAUAAUUUUGAUAGAGGAGGUGUUUGUGGGUCUUGGUGUAAUAAUUGAUAGUAGUGGAAUACCUAUAAUGCCAAAAGUUGGUCUAAAAUUUCCCACGGCUAAGGCGGGACACAAAAUUGGGUGUGGAUACAUAGCUUGAGGUCAUUCACAGCGAAAGCUCCUACCUAUGCCUUGGAAUUUUUUAAAGGGCAUGCUUUGUAAGUACUUUUAUUCUGUUUUGAGAUGAUUAAAGAUUUAUCAUAAUUAUCUCAUUGGAAUUUUGGCAUAGUUAAAAAAAGGGGCAGCAAGGUAUAUAAAUGUGCACAUGCAUAAAUAUUUGUAUUAGUCCUGCCAAUUUGUGGUAAAGAAUUAUUAUCUUCAACUAUAAGAUUUUAGAAAAAUAUAUUGUUUCUUUAGCCAAUCUGAUUAUUUUGGUUUUGAUGUAAUAAUAUUAUUCUUUUUUUCUUUUUGGAAGGCAUAACAAAUUGAAGAUAUACUAUAUGAUAGUAGGUCUAAAACAAAACUAAAAAAUUAAACUAAAAUCAAAGUAGAAUUUUUAUUCAUAUAUAUAUAUAUAUAUAUUGUUUUGCUUUCAAAGUUGGCUAAAUUAAUAAUGUUUAUCAUGUGUUGGAUGGAAUUCAUGAUAUAUGUAAUGGUUAGUGGAACUCAUUUGCUGUUUCAUAUAUCAAUGUUUAGUAUUUUUAAAAUAGGCAAAUACUUCCAUUCUUCAUAUUUUUAUAAUAGGUCUUGAUGCCUACAACCUCCCAUUAAAGAUUAUGCCAUUUUUUUUAGUUUUUUGAAGUGCAUUGUUUUCCCAUAAUGUUGUACUGUAACAAAAAUAACUCAAGAUGUUGGUUAUUGUGUCUUUUAUAUCACAGAGAUGUAGCAAUGUAUAUUUUCUUUAUUUGUAAGCAGUCAAUUUACGUAUUUGCAAGCAAAUUUAGUAAGGACAAGUGAAAUGAUUUGUUGGUGGUAAUGUAGUUGAGAAGAUUUUGGAUUCAUAAAUCAACCCUUUUUU